UACGUAGGGGGCAAGCGUUGUCCGGAUUUAUUGGGCGUAAAGCGCUCGCAGGUGGUCCGAUGCGUCGUGCGUGAAAGACCCUGGCUCAACUGGGGGAGUGUCGUGCGAUACGGUCGGACUGGAGGCCAGUAGGGGGGAUGCGGAAUUCCGGGGUGUAGUGGUGGAAUGCGCAGAUAUCAGGAGGAACACCGAUGGCGAAGGCAGCUCGCUGGGACGGUACUGACGCUGAGGCGCGAAAGCGUGGGGGAGCAAACAGG
rnacentral:rRNA from 1 species